AGUGAACGCUGGCGGUAGGCCUAACACAUGCAAGUCGAACGGCAGCACAGUAAGAGCUUGCUCUUACGGGUGGCGAGUGGCGGACGGGUGAGGAAUACAUCGGAAUCUACUUUUUCGUGGGGGAUAACGUAGGGAAACUUACGCUAAUACCGCAUACGACCUACGUGUGAAAGCAGGGGAUCUUCGGACCUUGCGCGAUUGAAUGAGCCGAUGUCGGAUUAGCUAGUUGGCGGGGUAAAGGCCCACCAAGGCGACGAUCCGUAGCUGGUCUGAGAGGAUGAUCAGCCGCACGGGAAAUGAGACACGGUCCAGAAUCCGACGGGAGGCAGGAGUGGGGAAUAUUGGACAAGGGGCGCAAGCGUGUUCCAGCCAGACCGCGUGGGUGAAGAAGGCCUUCGGGUUGUAAAGCCCUUUUGUUGGGAAAGAAAAGCAGCAGGUUAAUACCCCGCUGUUCUGAAGGUACCCAAAGAAUAAGCACCGGCUAACUUCGU
rnacentral:rRNA from 1 species